CCAUUGGCUGAUUGUGCUAAAAUCAAUGCUCCUCACCUCCUCCUUUUGUAAAGUCCAUUUAACAAACUCCCUUGCUGACACAGAGAACUGACCAUAGGGAAAGGGAAAAGGAUGAAAUCUGGCUGCGUUUCCUCAGGAAGUGAGUGAUCCUCAGAGAGACUUAUAAAGAAAAAGUGAUCCACUCUGGAUUCAAUAUAUCAAUCACAGGUUUGUGAUUGAGUCUCCUUGGCUUGCUCCUUGAGAAAAUUGAAGCAGUUAAUUGAAGGAACAAUGAGUUGGUGCUUGAGGUGAGAUGACCAGCUUGGCAACACAAGGACAGAUACUAACAACAAAGAUGGUAGUGUAAAGCCGAGAAGGAACUUGAGUCAGAGGUAGCAUAAUUAACUCUCUUACCAGCCUGCACUUCCUAUCUCCA